UAGGGAAUUUUCGGCAAUGGGCGAAAGCCUGACCGAGCAAUGCCGCGUGAAUGAUGAAAUUCUUCGGAAUGUAAAAUUCUGUUAUUAGGGAAGAAAGAUAUGCUUAGGAAAUGAUUCUAAGCUGACGGUACUUUACCAGAAAGCCCCGGCUAACUACGUGCCAGCAGCCGCGGUAAUACGUAGGGGGCGAGCGUUAUCCGGAUUUAUUGGGCGUAAAGCGUGUGUAGGCGGUUUAUUAAGUAUAAGAUUAAAGCCCGAGGCUUAACCUCGGUUCGUCUUAUAAACUGGUAGACUUGAGUGUGGUAGAGGUAAGUGGAAUUUCUAGUGUAGCGGUUAAAUGCGUAGAUAUUAGAAGGAACACCAGUGGCGAAGGCGGCUUACUGGGCCAUUACUGACGCUGAGACACGAAAGCGUGGGGAGCAAAUA
rnacentral:rRNA from 1 species